rnacentral:rRNA from 1 species
AGGAUGAACGCUGGCGGCGUGCCUAAUACAUGCAAGUCGAGCGAACGGACGAGAAGCUUGCUUCUCUGAUGUUAGCGGCGGACGGGUGAGUAACACGUGGAUAACCUACCUAUAAGACUGGGAUAACUUCGGGAAACCGGAGCUAAUACCGGAUAAUAUUUUGAACCGCAUGGUUCAAAAGUGAAAGACGGUCUUGCUGUCACUUAUAGAUGGAUCCGCGCUGCAUUAGCUAGUUGGUAAGGUAACGGCUUACCAAGGCAACGAUGCAUAGCCGACCUGAGAGGGUGAUCGGCCACACUGGAACUGAGACACGGUCCAGACUCCUACGGGAGGCAGCAGUAGGGAAUCUUCCGCAAUGGGCGAAAGCCUGACGGAGCAACGCCGCGUGAGUGAUGAAGGUCUUCGGAUCGUAAAACUCUGUUAUUAGGGAAGAACAUAUGUGUAAGUAACUGUGCACAUCUUGACGGUACCUAAUCAGAAAGCCACGGCUAACUACGUGCCAGCAGCCGCGGUAAUACGUAGGUGGCAAGCGUUAUCCGGAAUUAUUGGGCGUAAAGCGCGCGUAGGCGGUUUUUUAAGUCUGAUGUGAAAGCCCACGGCUCAACCGUGGAGGGUCAUUGGAAACUGGAAAACUUGAGUGCAGAAGAGGAAAGUGGAAUUCCAUGUGUAGCGGUGAAAUGCGCAGAGAUAUGGAGGAACACCAGUGGCGAAGGCGACUUUCUGGUCUGUAACUGACGCUGAUGUGCGAAAGCGUGGGGAUCAAACAGGAUUAGAUACCCUGGUAGUCCACGCCGUAAACGAUGAGUGCUAAGUGUUAGGGGGUUUCCGCCCCUUAGUGCUGCAGCUAACGCAUUAAGCACUCCGCCUGGGGAGUACGACCGCAAGGUUGAAACUCAAAGGAAUUGACGGGGACCCGCACAAGCGGUGGAGCAUGUGGUUUAAUUCGAAGCAACGCGAAGAACCUUACCAAAUCUUGACAUCCUUUGACAACUCUAGAGAUAGAGCCUUCCCCUUCGGGGGACAAAGUGACAGGUGGUGCAUGGUUGUCGUCAGCUCGUGUCGUGAGAUGUUGGGUUAAGUCCCGCAACGAGCGCAACCCUUAAGCUUAGUUGCCAUCAUUAAGUUGGGCACUCUAAGUUGACUGCCGGUGACAAACCGGAGGAAGGUGGGGAUGACGUCAAAUCAUCAUGCCCCUUAUGAUUUGGGCUACACACGUGCUACAAUGGACAAUACAAAGGGUAGCGAAACCGCGAGGUCAAGCAAAUCCCAUAAAGUUGUUCUCAGUUCGGAUUGUAGUCUGCAACUCGACUACAUGAAGCUGGAAUCGCUAGUAAUCGUAGAUCAGCAUGCUACGGUGAAUACGUUCCCGGGUCUUGUACACACCGCCCGUCACACCACGAGAGUUUGUAACACCCGAAGCCGGUGGAGUAACCUUUUAGGAGCUAGCCGUCGAAGGUGGGACAAAUGAUU